UGGCCCUAAAUCUUGAUGCUUACCCCACUAAAGCAUCCGCCUGAGAACUACGAGCACAAACGCUUAAAACUCUAAGGACUUGGCGGUGCCCUAAACCCACCUAGAGGAGCCUGUUCUGUAAUCGACAACCCACGAUACACCCAACCACUUCUUGCCAAAAACAGCCUACAUACCGCCGUCGCCAGCUCACCUUCUUUGAAAGAACAGCAGUGAGCGUAAUCGCCUUAAACCCCGCUAACACGACAGGUCAAGGUAUAGCCUAUGAGGUGGAAGAAAUGGGCUACAUUUUCUAACUUAGAAAACCCCCUAUCUUAACGAAAGGGAGUGUGAAACAACUCCCUGAAGGCGGAUUUAGCAGUAAAGCGGGAUAAUAAAACCCCCUUUAAACCGGCUCUGAGGCAC
rnacentral:rRNA from 1 species